AACAUUCAGCAGAUAUACGACUGGCACAAAGAUUUCUUCCUGGGAGAGCUUGAAAAGUGCCUUGAGGUUCCUGACCGGCUGGGCCCUCUCUUCGUCAAACAUGAGCGAAGACUGCACAUGUACAUUGUUUACUGCCAGAACAAACCUAAGUCUGAGCACAUUGUCUCAGAGUAUAUCGACACCUAUUUUGAGGAUCUGAAGCAGCAUCUGGGUCACAGGCUUCAGAUCACUGAUCUGCUCAUUAAACCUGUGCAGAGAAUCAUGAAGUACCAACUGCUGCUUAAGGAUUUCCUUAAAUUUUCCAAAAAAAUCGGAAUUGAUUCAGUAGAAUUGGAGG